GAGUACUGGAGAGGGUGGUGGAAUUCCGCGUGUAGCGGUGAAAUGCGUAGAGAUGUGGAGGAACACCAGUGGCGAAGGCGGCCACCUGGACAGUAACUGACGCUGAGGCGCGAAAGUGUGGGUAGCAAACAGGAUUAGAUACCCUGGUAGUCCACGCUGUAAACGAUGAACACUUGGUGUGGCGGGAGUUGACCCCUGCCGUGCCGUAGCUAACGCGCUAAGUGUUCCGCCUGGGGAGUACGGUCGCAAG
rnacentral:rRNA from 1 species